UGGGGGGUCGUCUAACGGUAGGACAAUGGACUUUGGCUCCAUUAAUUCAGGUUCAAAUCCUGGCCUCCCAG
rnacentral:tRNA from 1 species